AACGAACGCUGGCGGCAUGCCUAACACAUGCAAGUCGAACGAAGCCUUCGGGCUUAGUGGCGCACGGGUGCGUAACGCGUGGGAAUCUGCCCUUGGGUUCGGAAUAACAGUUAGAAAUGACUGCUAAUACCGGAUGAUGUCUUCGGACCAAAGAUUUAUCGCCCAAGGAUGAGCCCGCGUCGGAUUAGCUAGUUGGUGAGGUAAAGGCUCACCAAGGCGACGAUCCGUAGCUGGUCUGAGAGGAUGAUCAGCCACACUGGGACUGAGACACGGCCCAGACUCCUACGGGAGGCAGCAGUGGGGAAUAUUGGACAAUGGGCGAAAGCCUGAUCCAGCAAUGCCGCGUGAGUGAUGAAGGCCUUAGGGUUGUAAAGCUCUUUUACCCGGGAUGAUAAUGACAGUACCGGGAGAAUAAGCCCCGGCUAACUCCGUG
rnacentral:rRNA from 1 species